GGCUCCGUGGCUUAAUGGUUACGGCUUCUGCCUCACAAGCAGAAAGUUCAGGGAUCAAAUCCCGGUUGGUAUCU
rfam:Culex pipiens quinquefasciatus supercont3.1 genomic scaffold, whole genome shotgun sequence.